rnacentral:rRNA from 1 species
AUACGGAGGGUGCAAGCGUUAAUCGGAAUUACUGGGCGUAAAGAGUACGUAGGUGGUUUAUUAAGUCAGAUGUGAAAGCCCCGGGCUCAACCUGGGAACUGCAUUUGAAACUAGUAGACUAGAGUAUGGUAGAGGGGGGUAGAAUUUCUAGUGUAGCGGUGAAAUGCGUAGAUAUUAGAAGGAAUACCAGUGGCGAAGGCGGCCCCCUCGACCAAUACUGACACUGAGGUACGAAAGCGUGGGUAGCGAACAGGAUUAGAAACCCUAGUAGUCC